rnacentral:rRNA from 1 species
GCAGUGGGGAAUUUUGGACAAUGGGCGCAAGCCUGAUCCAGCAAUGCCGCGUGAGUGAAGAAGGCCUUCGGGUUGUAAAGCUCUUUUGUCAGGGAAGAAACGGGUUUUUCUAAUACAGAGACCUAAUGACGGUACCUGAAGAAUAAGCACCGGCUAACUACGUGCCAGCAGCCGCGGUAAUACGUAGGGUGCAAGCGUUAAUCGGAAUUACUGGGCGUAAAGCGUGCGCAGGCGGUUUUGUAAGUCUGUUGUGAAAUCCCCGGGCUCAACCUGGGAAUGGCAAUGGAGACUGCAAGGCUAGAGUUUGGCAGAGGGGGGUAGAAUUCCACGUGUAGCAGUGAAAUGCGUAGAUAUGUGGAGGAACACCGAUGGCGAAGGCAGCCCCCUGGGUCAAAACUGACGCUCAUGCACGAAAGCGUGGGGAGCAAACAGGAUUAGA